UACGAAGGGGGCUAGCGUUGCUCGGAAUUACUGGGCGUAAAGGGCGCGUAGGCGGCUGUUCCAGUCAGAUGUGAAAUUCCUGGGCUCAACCUGGGGGCUGCAUUUGAUACGUGAUGGCUGGAGUGGGGAAGAGGGUCGUGGAAUUCCCAGUGUAGAGGUGAAAUUCGUAGAUAUUCGCAAGAACACCAGUGGCGAAGGCGGCUCACUGGCCCGAUACUGACGCUGAGGCACGAAAGCGUGGGGAGCAAACAGG
rnacentral:rRNA from 1 species